rnacentral:rRNA from 1 species
CCUACGGGAGGCAGCAGUGAGGAAUAUUGGUCAAUGGACGAGAGUCUGAACCAGCCAAGUAGCGUGAAGGAUGACUGCCCUAUGGGUUGUAAACUUCUUUUAUAUGGGAAUAAAAUGUUCCACGUGUGGGAUUUUGUAUGUACCAUAUGAAUAAGGAUCGGCUAACUCCGUGCCAGCAGCCGCGGUAAUACGGAGGAUCCGAGCGUUAUCCGGAUUUAUUGGGUUUAAAGGGAGCGUAGGUGGAUUGUUAAGUCAGUUGUGAAAGUUUGCGGCUCAACCGCAAAAUUGCAGUUGAAACUGGCAGUCUUGAGUACAGUAGAGGUGGGCGGAAUGCGUGGUGUAGCGGUGAAAUGCUUAGAUAUCACGAAGAACUCCGAUUGCGAAGGCAGUUCACUGGACUGCAACUGACACUGAGGCUCGAAAGUGUGGGUAUCAAACAGGAUUAGAUACCCGUGUAGUC